AGGACCACUUCACAUCUCAUUGCAAUCAGUCAGUGCGGCUUGGGGUUUUGCUAUACACGGCUUUCGUAAGGGAGAGAGAAGAAGACUUGCAUUUAAAUCUUCUAAAUCGGAAGGAUCACAUCUCCGUCCAAUGCCUAACGACGAUUCUGAGCAGUCGAGUUGCUGUUGGACAGCCAUUGACGCGGUUUUUUGCUGUCUCUGUUGUCCACUCUACUUGCUCUACCAAUGCUGUGAAUAUUGCUGUGGUUUGGAAGACGACGAUCUAGGUACUACAUACCGUGGCACAUUCCUGAACUCGAAGCCAAGAAGCCCCACCAUAAAAAUUCAUGCAUUCGACGAGGACAUCGAAUUGCCUGGACCUAGUACAAGCAUUAUUAACGUGGACCCUAACAAAGGGAGGUGGACCUCAAAAGUGCACCCAUUCGACAAGGACAAAGAUUUGCUUGGACCUAGUACUAGCAGGAUUAACGUGGACUCUAACAAAGAGAGGUGGACCUCAAAAGUGUACCCAUUCGACGAGGACAUCGAAUUGCCUGGACCUAGUACUAACAUUAUUAACGUUGACUCUAACAAAGGAAAGUGGACCUCAAAAGUGUACCCAUUCGACAAGGACAAAGAUUUGCUUGGACCUAGUACUAGCAUUAUUAACGUGGACUCAAACAAAGGAAGGUGGACCUCAAAAGUGUACCCAUUCGACGAGGACAACGAAUUGCCUAGACCUAGUACAAGCAAAAACUUGGACUCCAACAAAGGAAGGGGUACCCCCCCAACAGGGCGCCCAUUCGACGGGGACAACAAACCCUGGACACCUAGACCUAGUGCGUCCACAAACAAGUCAUCCACAAGUUUACAGGAGCUCCGAGUUGAUACGUUAGAGACGGCCUUCGGCAGCGCUCUGCCAUCGGGAUAUUCCGGCGCGCUCACCGGCAGCGAUUUGUCCGACCUGGCGCCUUCCGCUCCACCCAUCGACAGCGCGUUCUUCAUCUACGAAGAGACGGACGUGAGGACAAAUAGCGUUUAAUGAUACGUUUCCGGUGAGGUCCGACGCUGAAGCGCCAUUGUUGGCGACGGCAAAGCGAUGGGCAGUGUUGACUUUUUUAUCAAAACCAACGAGCCAUUACUAGAAUAUCGUAUAUCGCAGCAAAAUAAAGAGACAACGCUCAACGUACUUGUUUUUCUUUGGGUCUCUGCUGUUCUUGAUGGCCGUCGUCUUUGCUCUGAUUGGCCAGUGGAUAGUCACUGCUUUCUGCGGAAUCUUCGCCAUUCUGUCUUUCAUCGGCGCCAAGAGAUUCGCAUCCCCACCCAGAAGGCCAAGAAACCCACCAACAUACCACGACAUGCCGGGACCCAACCCUGUCCUGGUCAUCAGAACAACUCCGAAUGGGAGUAACACCUACGUCUACAGUAACAACUCUUUCAACGUCUUCCCCCAAGAGCUAAGUGCAGGAGGGCUUAGAGCACCGAGGCCGGCAGACGCCCCUCCGUCUUAUUCCUCGAUGGAUCCUUCGUACGGGGUUUUCGCGGGGAGCGUCAGCUCGCCAGAACAGGCAGAAGAAGACGUUGGGUCGUCGUCAACUGCGCCUGCGCCGGAGGGAGCCCUCGCAUUCAAAUCUUCCAAUGACGGGCUGCCAAGCUACGAGGACGCUAUUGCCACCAGAAGCGAGUCAGCAGCAGGGUUUUCCACCCCGUGAAGCUGCUGUCAUCUCCGCGCCCUUUCUCUCGUUCUCCUGUAAACUCUUAUCGCUCAAAAGGACCGAUGCCACCUGCUUGCCUAAAGUUAGUGAUGAUUUACUAAAACUUCUUAGUUUGGCCGUCUAUCUACUGUGAUUUGUGAAUACAAUCAUUGUGUACUAUUACUUACUGAAGAAGUGUAUUC